CGAACGCUGGCGGCGUGCUUAACACAUGCAAGUCAAGGGGGCCCGCAAGGGCAACCGGCGAACGGGCGCGUAACACGUGAGCAAGCUUCCGAUUUGUGGGGGAUAGCCGGCCCAACGGCCGGGUAAUACCGCAUACGUUCAUUAGACGGCAUCGUCUGAUGAGGAAACCUCCGGGGCAAAUCGAGGCGCUCGCGGCCUAUCAGCUAGUUGGUGAGGUAACGGCUCACCAAGGCGACGACGGGUAGCUGGUCUGAGAGGAUGGCCAGCCACAUUGGGACUGCGACACGGCCCAGACUCCUACGGGAGGCAGCAGUGGGGAAUAUUGCGCAAUGGACGAAAGUCUGACGCAGCGACGCCGCGUGUGGGAUGAAGCCUUUCGGGGUGUAAACCACUGUUGCCCGGGACGAACAUCCUCUUUCGAGAGGACUGACGGUACCGGGUGAGGAAGCACCGGCUAACUCUGCGCUAGCAGCCGCGGUAAUCUGAUGGCGCG
rnacentral:rRNA from 1 species